UACGAGGGGGGCUAGCGUUGCUCGGAAUGACUGGGCGUAAAGGGCGCGUAGGCGGAUGGCACAGUCAGAUGUGAAAUUCCCGGGCUCAACCUGGGGGCUGCAUUUGAUACGUGUUGUCUAGAGUGAGGAAGAGGGUUGUGGAAUUCCCAGUGUAGAGGUGAAAUUCGUAGAUAUUGGGAAGAACACCGGUGGCGAAGGCGGCAACCUGGUCCUUGACUGACGCUGAGGCGCGAAAGCGUGGGGAGCGAACAGG
rnacentral:rRNA from 1 species